AAAACGACUCUCGGCAACGGAUAUCUCGGCUCUCGCAUCGAUGAAGAACGUAGCGAAGUGCGAUACUUGGUGUGAAUUGCAGAAUCCCGUGAACCAUCGAGUCUUUGAACGCAAGUUGCGCCCCAAGCCGUUAGGCCGAGGGCACGCCUGCCUGGGUGUCACGC
rnacentral:rRNA from 1 species